UUUCAAGGGUCUCUCUGUGUGCUCAGAUCUGAGUCAUUUUUUCCGUAAAAAGUCGUUUUUUUUCUUUAUUUAUGUGAUCAGGGUAAAAUUUUCUGUGUGGUUGUUGGUGCUUUCUAUUUAUAGAAAGCAUUAUCUUUACUCAUUUCUGCCUUUAUUUUCCUUCUUGGAACAUAGAAAUUGACAGAAGAGAGUGAGCACACAGGGGCACUUGUAUAAGCUAUACAUUUGCUUUUGCGUGCUCACAUCUCUUUCUGUCAGAUUCCAGUGCCGGAAUCUGAUAUUUUUCCGUUCAGUUCUAGGCCUGUUUUUGUUCCAAAUCAAUCACUCUUUUGCCUCUCUAUAUCUCCUUCACUUGACUAUCUGGCUGGCUGUUUUGAGUUGAAGAAACAAGACAAAACACCUUAUGCUAUAUAAUGAAGGAGAAAAAAAUGGUACGCCUGAUUACUGAUUACCGUGCGGAUUUAGAGGCAUAUCUCUGCUUAACAUGGAACCAUUCAUGUUAUCUACUUAGUUUGAUAAAUAUGGCACAACUGAUAAAUGAAUCUGAGAAUUGUACAUCCUGCAAGAGUUUUAUGGCAUGGCUUUAUUUCCACGAAUAUCAAUGUGGCUCAUUGCUAUGAUGUCAAAGUUCUUGCAUCUAGAAUCAAUAUUUGUGCGUGGGGAUUUCUCAUAUGAAAACCAAGCUUCCUGCGUGGGGAGAGCUUAAAAGAUUUCCCAAAUGAAAACCAAGAAGUCCCUUGGGGAGAACUCACCAUUUUUAAGGGAAUCUGUAAUUGUUCGGCAAGAACUUAGAAGAUGUAAAGGGUUGGACGAUGCCUGCUCCCCAAAAACUACUAGGGCAAAAUUAUAUGUUUGCUGUCAUAUUUUGAAGUACCUCUUUAUGUUGCUCUUUAGUGAUGAUUUCGCAUUACAAAUAUAACUUUUCGGGCGUUGGAUGCUUGAUUAAUUUUAUGUUUUCAAUUAAGAUGCUGGUUUUCAUGCUAAACUUUUAGUUUGCAGGAUAUCUAAUCGAACAUCAUUAGUGUUCAA